ACAGUCCUACGGGGGGCAGCAGUGGGGAAUAUUGCGCAAUGGGGGAAACCCUGACGCAGCAACGCCGCGUGCGGGAUGACGGCCUUCGGGUUGUAAACCGCUUUCAGCAGGGAAGAACAUCGACGGUACCUGCAGAAGAAGCCCCGGCUAACUACGUGCCAGCAGCCGCGGUAAUACGUAGGGGGCGAGCGUUAUCCGGAUUCAUUAGGCGUAAAGCGCGCGUAGGCGGGGGCCUAAGCGGGACCUCUAAACUCGGGGCUCAACCCCGAGCCGGGGCCCGAACUGGGCGCCUCGAGGGCGGUAGG
rnacentral:rRNA from 1 species